GACGAACGCUGGCGGCGUGCCUAAUACAUGCAAGUGAAGUUCAGUGGCGAACAGGUGAGUAAUAAGUGGGUAACAUGCCCUCAUUAUUGGGAUAAGCCUUGGAAACGGGGUCUAAUACCGAAUAAAGGGGGAUGGGCUCGCGGCCGAUCGGCUUGUUGGGGGGGUGAUGGCCUACCACGGCGGUGACGGGUAGCCGGCGUGUGAGGGUGACCGGACAGAUUGGGAGUUAGAGACGCCCAAGAGUGCUACGGGAGGAAGAGUGGGGGGAUAUUGCACAAGGGGCGAAAGCCUGAUGCAGGGAUGCCGCGUGGGGGAUGAAGGCUUGCGGUUUGUAAACCUCUUUCGAUAUCGAACGGUUAGGUGGAGAAGAAGCGCCGGCUAACUACGUGCCAGCAGCCGCGGUAAUUC
rnacentral:rRNA from 1 species